rnacentral:tRNA from 1 species
AGGGUAUUAUUUUAUUUAGAAUAAUUAAAUUGCAUUUAAUAGGUUUAUAAAUUAUAUAAAUAUCUUA